rnacentral:rRNA from 1 species
UACGUAGGGGGCUAGCGUUGUCCGGAAUCAUUGGGCGUAAAGAGCGUGUAGGCGGCCCGGUAAGUCCGCUGUGAAAGUCAAAGGCUCAACCUUUGAAUGUCAGCGGAUACUGCCGGGCUAGAGUCCGGAAGAGGCGAGUGGAACUCCUGGUGUAGCGGUGGAAUGCGCAGAUAUCAGGAAGAACACCAACGGCGAAGGCAGCUCGCUGGGACGGAACUGACGCUAAGGCGCGAAAGCGUGGGGAGCGAACAGG